GACGAACGCUGGCGGCGUGCUUAACACAUGCAAGUCGAACGGUAAAGCUUUGUGCUUGCGCUGUGUGGGUGAGUGGCGAACGGGUGAGUAACACGUGAGCAAUCUGCCCCUGUUUCUGGGAUAAGCGCUGGAAACGGCUUCUAAUACUAGAUAAGAGCUCCGAAGGCAUCUUCCAGAGCUGGUUAGGACUUCGGUCGGGGAUGAGCUCGCGGCCCAUCAGCUUGUUGGUGGGGUAACGGCUCACCAAGGCGGCGACGGGUCGCCGGCCUGAGAGGGUGACCGGCCACAAUGGGACUGAGAGACGGCCCAGACUCCUACGGGAGGCAGCAGUGGGGAAUAUUGCACAAUGGGCGAAAGCCUGAUGCAGCGACGCCGCGUGAGGGACGACGGCCUUCGGGUUGUAAACCUCUUUUAGCAGGGAAGAAGCGAAAGUGACGGUACCUGCAGAAAAAGCGCCGGCUAACUACGUG
rnacentral:rRNA from 1 species